UACGUAGGGUGCGAGCGUUAAUCGGAAUUACUGGGCGUAAAGCGUGCGCAGGCGGCUUUGCAAGACAGAGGUGAAAUCCCCGGGCUCAACCUGGGAACUGCCUUUGUGACUGCAAGGCUAGAGUACGGCAGAGGGGGAUGGAAUUCCGCGUGUAGCAGUGAAAUGCGUAGAUAUGCGGAGGAACACCGAUGGCGAAGGCAAUCCCCUGGGCCUGUACUGACGCUCGUGCACGAAAGCGUGGGGAGCAAACAGG
rnacentral:rRNA from 1 species